rnacentral:rRNA from 1 species
GGAAUUUUGGGCAAUGGGCGAAAGCCUGACCCAGCAACGCCGCGUGAAGGAUGAAGUCCUUCGGGAUGUAAACUUCGUAAGAAUGGGAAGAAUCAAUGACGGUACCAUUUGUAAGGUCCGGCUAACUACGUGCCAGCAGCCGCGGUAAUACGUAGGGACCAAGCGUUGUUCGGAUUUACUGGGCGUAAAGGGAGCGUAGGCGGCGCAUCAAGUCAGCUGUGAAAUCUUAAGGCUUAACCUUAAGCGGUCAGCUGAUACUGUUGUGCUAGAGUGCAGAAGGGGCAAUCGGAAUUCUUGGUGUAGCGGUGAAAUGCGUAGAUAUCAAGAGGAACACCUGAGGCGAAGGCGGGUUGCUGGGCUGACACUGACGCUGAGGCUCGAAAGCCAGGGGAGCAAA